rnacentral:rRNA from 1 species
GAAAGGUAGCGUAAUCACUUGUUCUGUGUAAAUAUAGGACUAGUAUGAACGGCACCACGAGGGUUAUACUGUCUCCCUCUUUUAAUCAGUGAAACUGACCUCCCCGUGAAGAGGCGGGGAUAAAACUAUAAGACGAGAAGACCCCAUGGAGCUUCAAACUCAGUACUAACUGCAUCAUCUAUACCAUCAUAAUCCAGCAGCCAUAGAGACUAGUUUUCGGUUGGGGUGACCGCGGAGCAAAACAAAACCUCCACGAUGAAUGAGACAAAUACUCUAAUCAAAGAGCUACAACUCAAAGAAUCAACAAAUUGACACACUUGAUCCAAUUAAUUUUGAUCAACGAACCUAGUUACCCUGGGGAUAACAGCGCAAUCCACUUCAAGAGCCCCUAUCGACAAGUGGGUUUACGACCUCGAUGUUGGAUCAGGGUAUCCCAGUGGUGCAACCGCUACUAAAGGUUCGUUUGUUCAACGAUUAAAACCUUACGUGAUCUGAGUUA